CGUAGGUGAACCUGCGGUAGGAUCAUUA
rnacentral:ncRNA from 2 species